AUAAAAUAAUUAUGUUUUUAGAAAUUUAUUAUAAAUUUAUUUUACAUAUAAAUUUUAGUAUAUGAUUUUAAUUAUUUAAAUAAUAAUUAAUUUAUUUUUGUAGUAAUUAAUAUUAAAAAUUUAAGAAAUUAAGAUUUAGUAAUAUAAAAAUUAAUAACUAAUUUUGUGCCAGCAGUUGCGGUUAAACAAAAGUUAAAUUAAAUUAUUUCAGUAUAUAAUAAAUAAUUAAUUUAUUAAAAUAAAUAUUAAAUUAUUAAGUGAAAUUUUAAUUUAAUUAAAUUUUAUUUUAAAAUUAUGAUUUAAUAAAUUUUAAUAUAAACUAGGAUUAGAUACCCUAUUAUUAAAAAUUUAAUUUAUAAUACUAAAAUAGUAAAUAAUAAUUUAUUGAAACUUAAAUAAUAUGGCGGUAUUUUAGUUCAUUUAGAGGAAUCUGUCUAAUAAUUGAUAAUCCACGAAUAAAUUUACUUAAUUUAUAAUUUUGUAUAUCAUUGUUAAAAAAAUAUUUUUUAGGAAAAAUAAUAUUUAAAAAUUAUAAUAAAAAAUUAAAUCAGAUCAAGAUGCAGAAUAUAAUUAAGAAUAUGAUGGAUUACAUUAAAUAUAUUUAUAUGAAUAAUUUUAUUGUAAUAAAAAUUUGAAGGUGGAUUUAAAUGUAAUUUUAAUUAGUUUAUUAAAAUGAUUAAAAAUUAAAAUAUGUACAUAUUGCCCGUCACUUUCAUUUAAAAAUUGAAAUAAGUCGUAACAAAGUAGAGGUACUGGAAAGUGUUUCUAGAAAGA
rnacentral:ncRNA from 3 species